AUCGGCGUCUGCGUCGGCAUUGGCAACGCUCUCCCGACCCGAAAGUCAAAAGCUUUUUUCAUUGAGAAAACGCAAAGGCCCCACACGGACCACAAAACUCGAUAGCUUCGAAUGGAAGGCUGCGCCAGCUGACAGCCGACAGCCGACAGGCGACAGGCAGUACGGCUAACUUCCAGCGGCUCUGUUCGGCGAUGCGGCGUCGGCUCAGCUGUGGUGCUGCUCUCCGCACAGUUGUUGUCGUGUGCAGCAUCAACAACAGCAGCAGCAGCAGUAGCAGCAGCAGCGGAACGAAUGGAAAGUGGAACGAGCGAAACUAAAGCUCGAGCCCUGUGAUGUUUAGUUGCGCGCCGCCAGCAGCCGACAGCAGAUGCCGAGACGAGCAGGAGCACCGAAACUCGAGAAACGGAAGACGCCAAGCGAGCAACGAGAAACGAGAAACAGUUGCCGAAACAGAAACCGAAACAGAAACCGAAACCGAGACCGAAACUGAAACUGAAACCGAAACCGAGACGCUGACGAAGACAAAGUGCGAGUCCGUCAAACGAUAACUGUAAACCGCAAAAAGCAAACGAACAAGCGUAAGAAGCAGAAAAAGCACAAGAACAAGAAGAAGAACAGUAAGCAGCAGCAGCAGCAGCAGCAAUAGCAGCGCAGCAGCAGCAGCAGCAGAACAAAAAGUGCGUCGUGUUUCAGUUCCAUUUCGUAACGGCUGCCAUUUCGUUGCGCGCAAACAACAAAAAGAGCGAAAGCAAAGCAAACACAAAGCCGCGGGCAACAAAACCAGCAGCAGCAGCCACAAAAAAGAAAUUCAAGAAAUAUAUUUGCAAAAAGAAUUAAUAGAAAAGUAUUAGAGUGACUAAAAAUUUAAUUGAUACAGCUUUGGCCCAAAAACUGAAAAUUAUGAUAUAAAAUGCAGCGAGCUGUAAGCAGAUAGCAACAGCAGCAGCAGCAGCAGCAGCAACAGCAGCAGCAGCAGUAGCAACAAUAACAACAAUCGACUUGCUGCGCGAACAACAACAUGUGACAAACAAAAGUGCAGCAACAACAACCACUAUAGCUAUGCGUCUGCCCCACAAAGUGUGUUGCAAUCAAAAACAGCUCUAACAGCAGCAACAAUAAACAAACAGCCAA